UGCCUCAGGUGCUGGCUCCAUGGUGGACCAACCUUCCCACAGGAAAAGCCCAAGGCAGUUCCAAAAAAAAAUCUUCCAGCGACUGCUGCCCAGCCAAGGAGGUAGAGGGAGGAGGAGGAGUUUCCUGUUUCUAGAGAGGUUGCAAGUGCUAGUGCAAAGAGCAGGAAACUGGGAGUCAGGUGACUUCCAGUCCCACUUCUGCCCAGCUGGCUGCGUGACCUUGGGCCUGCUGAUGGAAAAGGAAACUGGGCUUUUUGCUGCCCCACUAGACCACCUUGGGGACAAGGCGCAACUCCACAAGAACAGAAGUAGCAGAGUCAUUUCCUUGAAGCCAUAAUAGUACAAAUUGCUUUGACUUUUAACCCUAAAUCAAAUCCUCAUUUAAGAAAAAAUCUUGCUUGAAGAAAGUUAAUUUCUACUAAUAUCUGAAUGAACCUGGCGGGAGAUGGUAUGAGGGGGAAAAAUGUAUAUCGCAUAAUUGGAAAGGGGCGGGGGUUGUAAUUGGGAUGGGCGAAGGUUGUUGAAUGCUUUUUUUCCCUCUGUAUUGUUGCUUAUUAUUAUUACUAUUAACCUUGAAGCCAUUAGCGCUGCUCUUUCUUUGAAUAUGUGACUGUGUGUGCUUUCUCUCUCUCUCCCUCCCCUUUAAGCCCCCCUGCCUCUGCCACACCUCUCUAUUGCAAGAAGAUUUCAGGAUCCUGGCUGUAAUCUGUAAUUCCUGUUUGUACGGAUGUGGGUGUUUCGGGACAUCCCCGGACAGUUAUUAAACCACUGACCGGUGAAGGCUUUGCUACAGAUGGAUUUCA